UCUCCGUUGGUGAACCAGCGGAGGGAUCAUUACAGAGUUAUCUAACUCCCAAACCCAUGUGAACUUACUAUUGUUGCCUCGUCAGAAGCUGCUCGGUGCACCCUACCUUGGAACGGCCUACCCUGUAGCGCCUUACCCUGGAACGGCUUACCCUGUAACGGCUGCCGGUGGACUACCAAACUCUUGUUGUUACAGUGUCAUUCUGAAUUUAGAAACAUAAUCAGUUAAAACUUUCAACAACGGAUCUCUUGGUUCUGGCAUAAAUGAAGAACGCAGC
rnacentral:misc_RNA from 1 species